rnacentral:rRNA from 1 species
UAGGGAAUCUUCGGCAAUGGACGAAAGUCUGACCGAGCAACGCCGCGUGAGUGAAGAAGGCUUUCGGAUCGUAAAACUCUGUUGUUAGAGAAGAACAAGGACGUUAGUAACUGAACGUCCCCUGACGGUAUCUAACCAGAAAGCCACGGCUAACUACGUGCCAGCAGCCGCGGUAAUACGUAGGUGGCAAGCGUUGUCCGGAUUUAUUGGGCGUAAAGCGAGCGCAGGCGGUUUCUUAAGUCUGAUGUGAAAGCCCCCGGCUCAACCGGGGAGGGGCAUUGGAAACUGGGAGACUUGAGUGCAGAAGAGGAGAGUGGAAUUCCAUGUGUAGCGGUGAAAUGCGUAGAUAUAUGGAGGAACACCAGUGGCGAAGGCGGCUCUCUGGUCUGUAACUGACGCUGAGGCUCGAAAGCGUGGGGAGCAAACAGG